rnacentral:rRNA from 1 species
GUGGGGAAUCUUGCGCAAUGGGCGAAAGCCUGACGCAGCCAUGCCGCGUGAAUGAUGAAGGUCUUAGGAUUGUAAAAUUCUUUCACCGGGGACGAUAAUGACGGUGCCCGGAGAAGAAGCCCCGGCUAACUUCGUGCCAGCAGCCGCGGUAAUACGAAGGGGGCUAGCGUUGCUCGGAAUUACUGGGCGUAAAGGGAGCGUAGGCGGACAUUUAAGUCAGGGGUGAAAUCCCGGGGCUCAACCUCGGAAUUGCCUUUGAUACUGGGUGUCUGGAGUGUGAGAGAGGUAUGUGGAACUCCGAGUGUAGAGGUGAAAUUCGUAGAUAUUCGGAAGAACACCAGUGGCGAAGGCGACAUACUGGCUCAUUACUGACGCUGAGGCUCGAAAGCGUGGGGAGCAAACAGGAUUAGAUACCCCGGUAGUCC